rnacentral:rRNA from 1 species
GCAAGUCGAGGGAGAAGUUUGGUGCUUGCACUAGAUGGGAACCGGCGAACGGGUGCGUAACACGUAUGCAACCUACCUAUAACUGGGGGAUAGCCCGAAGAAAUUCGGAUUAAUACCCUAUAAUAUUUUGAUCUCUCAUGGGAUUGAUUUUAAAACUCCGGUGGUUAUAGAUGGGCAUGCGGUCUAUUAGUUUGUUGGUGAGGUAACGGCUCACCAAGGCAACGAUGGGUAGGGGUCCUGAGAGGGAGAUC